rnacentral:rRNA from 1 species
AUUGAACGCUGGCGGCAGGCUUAACACAUGCAAGUCGAGCGAGCGGCGGACGGGUGAGUAAGGACUGGGAAACUGCCUGAUGGAGGGGGAUAACUACUGGAAACGGUAGCUAAUACCGCAUACCAUCAGAUGUGCCCAGAUGGGAUUAGCUAGUAGGUGUGGUAAUGGCUCACAUAGGCGACGAUCCUCAGCUGGUCUGAGAUGAUGACCAGCCACACUGGAACUGAGACACGGUCCAGACGCCUACGGGAGGCAGCAGUAGGGAAUAUUGGACAAUGGACGCAAGUCUGAUGCAGCAAUGCCGCGUGUGUGAAGAAGGCCUUCGGGUUGUAAAGCACUUUCAGUGAGGAGGCGUUACUCACAGAAGAAGCACCGGCUAACUCCGUGCCAGCAGCCGCGGUAAUUC